UUUAUAAUUGUUUAAUUCCAAAAGUUGUUUUGCGCCCGUGGGUGGAGCCAAUACUAGUCAGGUACAAAGUUUUAAAUAGCGCGCUAAGCCUCUUAGCGGCGGACCUCUUCUAAAUGCUAUAGCGUGCUAUAGCGAGCUAUUUAAAAUGUUUGCUCAUGUGUUUGGACAAAAGACCUUUAGCGGAGGACCUCUUUUAAACGGUAUAGCAUGCUAUAGAGGAGCUAUAGCGGGCUAUUUAAAACCAUGGUCAGGUAUCGUCCGGCAGUCCACUUUUUCCCCUUGGCUUCUCAGCUCCGCGACCUAGAUAGAUAGAUAUAGAUGGCGCUCAUCUUCAUCAGCUUCUCCAACCGAUUGGAGGGAGGGGGAGGCCUUGCCGAUGUCGUCCGCCGGCCGAACCGGCCUCCUCUUCCACCCGUUGUCCUCGCCGGCGGGGUGCCUGCUGGAUCGUGGCAACUACUUUGGCUCUCCACGACCUAUACUUGACUUGCCUUAACCAUAGUCAACAUGUAGCACUCAUGUCGAUUGUAAUGUUAGGUUCAAAUUAAUCAACGUGGAAGAAUGGAUAAUUAAAACUUGCUUAUCCCACUUUCCUUUUUUUUGCGGGAGUGUUUGUCCAUGGUUAAGAGUUAGGAUUCCCUUGUUUACACUAGAAUUUUUCAGUUUCCUCCAUUAAGAAAAAAAAACAAUGGUAUUGUCCAUGACUAGCAAAACAGAGCGGUUAAUUGCCUUAUUGUGUGUCCAUGACUAGCAAAAUAGAUGUUUUCUGCCUGCUAGGUUAAUCCUAACUGUUACUUUCUUCCAUGUUCAGAACCAGAGGUAUUGUCAUCUCAUUGGAAGAUGGCAUGUUCAAGUUCCUCUGCUUAACUAGAUUUGCCAACGAUGAUGUUCCUCGGACCGCAAGGCUAUUCUCUGGGACUAGAACUCGGGGCGUUUUUCUACUUACAAAUUGUCAGAAUAUUUGAUAUGGAAUGUCCAUUGUCUCAGAAUUACUGCUACAUUUCCGGAACCAUGCCUAAUCAUCAAACUGAAGCACAUAUUGGUGGAAUCUAAUAAUCGCUUCUAGCUUACUUGGAGAUUCUGGGAGAAGUUUUCCAUUGAGGUUCGCUAGCAAGCAGAGGAGGUGACAGUCAUUAAGAUUGGUGGCACGUUGCAAAGCUCACCUUUAUCAAAUGUUCUUCCGGUUGCAAAAAAGCUUCCGAAAUUAUGCUGUCAAGUGCACGAUAUGCAGAAAGACUCUGUACUAACUCUCACUAACUUAGGAGCCUUUGCUGGCUUCAUAUGGGUGAUGGACAAAGGGCUUUUGAUGAUGCAGCUAAAUGCAAAAGGCUGCUUCCAAAGUGGGAAGAGGUGAACUAUCGGCAAGGAACAGCUCUAGUGUUCAUGAAGGUGCAAUAGAAGAUGGAGUUCAAAGUUGAAACUGACGAUGUCAUCGCUCCUUUCAUAUCUGCUAUAAUUGAUUCUGAUGUGCGCUUGCCUUCCUUAGGAGUAUGCUGCUGCGCAUUCCGCACUCCCGCGCGCUUUAGAGUUGGACCCGGAAAGUGAAGAGACCGAGAAAUUAUUCUAGGAGGCGAUGGAACUGAAGUGAACUUGCCCUGCAUGCUGACUGCCGAGAGAAGCUCACGCAGAAUCUCAAGCUCUCUGUUUUUUGCGUCCUUAGAAGAAAACCCGCUAAGGCAUUGUUUGGUUCCAAGGGGAGGACAACCCAGGGCAAUAAACCCCUAGGAGAGAUUUUCCUAUGCUCGUGGGAUCCCUCCCACCACGGGGGAGAUGUUCCCAGUAGACUAGGUGCCCAAAUGGCAACAAGGGAGGGAAGGAAUUCCCUCACGUACAACUGACAAAUUUGACACAACUAACCAUUGAUAAA